rnacentral:rRNA from 1 species
GUAGGUGGCAAGCGUUGUCCGGAAUUAUUGGGCGUAAAGCGCGCGCAGGCGGGGUCCUUUAAGUCUGAUGUGAAAGCCCACGGGCUCAACCGUGGAGGGUCAUUGGAAACUGGGGGACUUGAGUACAGAAGAGGAAAGCGGAAUUCCAAGUGUAGCGGUGAAAUGCGUAGAGAUUUGGAGGAACACCAGUGGCGAAGGCGGCUUUCUGGUCUGUAACUGACGCUGAGGCGCGAAAGCGUGGGGCGCAAACAGGAUUAGAUACCCUGGUAGUCCACGCCGUAAACGAUGAGUGCUAAGUGUUAGGGGGUUUCCGCCCCUUAGUGCUGCAGCUAACGCAUUAAGCACUCCGCCUGGGGAGUACGGCCGCAAAGGCUG